GAUGAACGCUGGCGGCGUGCCUAACACAUGCAAGUCGAACGAAGCACCUUUUAAGAUUCUUCGGAUGAUUGAUUGGUGACUGAGUGGCGGACGGGUGAGCAACGCGUGGGUAACCUGCCCUGUACAGGGGGAUAACAGUUGGAAACGGCUGCUAAUACCGCAUAAGCGCACGAGAGGACAUCCUUUUGGGUGAAAAACUCCGGUGGUACAGGAUGGGCCCGCGUCGGAUUAGCUGGUUGGCAGGGUAACGGCCUACCAAGGCGACGAUCAGUAGCCGGUCUGAGAGGAUGAACGGCCACAUUGGAACUGAGACACGGUCCAAACUCCUACGGGAGGCAGCAGUGGGGAAUAUUGCACAAUGGGGGAACCCUGAUGCAGCAACGCCGCGUGAGUGAAGAAGUAUUUCGGUAUGUAAAGCUCUAUCAGCAGGGAAGAUAAUGACGGUACCUGACUAAGAAGCUCCGGCUAAAUACGUGCCAGCCGCCGCAGUAA
rnacentral:rRNA from 1 species